rnacentral:ncRNA from 2 species
GGUAGGUGAACCUGCGGAAGGAUCAUUA